GCACCAGCGCUGCUACGAGGCUAGCCGGCUAUAGCCUACUCUCAUCUCUCUCUCGCGCGCACACACGCACGCACGCACAUACACACACACACACACACACAUAUCGCGGCGGCGUUUUGCAUCAUGCAGGAGUGCUCACGAUAAGAACCCGUUUAAACGCUACACACGUGAUGGCAGGCAGCCGCGCCGGCUCCUUGUCCGUAGAUUAAUGAGCGGAUUUGCGACUUCUAAGAGUCUCGGAUUGAGUGUCUUAAUGAGGAUUUUGCGCAAUGGUGAAGGACAAGGCCGAAAACCGGACGCUUCAGUAUCAGCAAACUUUGUAUAGAUGGUCAUCACCUUCUAUUCCCAGGAUAUCUGGACUGAAUUAAAGCUGCAACUCUAAGUGGUAAAGCUGCUCUAAAAGACUCUCGGGAUGCAGUUUCUCACCAGAUGCAAAGGUCCCACCUGCUGCUCUCCCAGGAGGCCGUGCUCCAGAUGGCCAGUGAUUGCUUUCACACAGGCCACAGAAAGCAUCACUAACAGGCCCCGUUUAAACUCCCAGUGGGUGUUUGUCUGGUGCUGGUGGUGUGGGUAUGUGUGUGUCUACAGUAUACUGUAUGUGUGGGCGCAUGAAAAUGUUUUUGCCAACACACAACAUUCAGUAAUAAAGUUGAAAUUCAGUGUAGCUGUAAAUAGAUUUUAAAAUAUAGAUCAGUUACCAACCAGGAAAACCAA